UACGUAGGGGGCAAGCGUUGUCCGGAUUCAUUGGGCGUAAAGAGCGUGUAGGCGGCCAGGUAGGUCGGUUGUGAAAACUGGAGGCUCAACCUUCAGAGGUCGACCCGAAACCAUCUGGCUAGAGUCCGGGAGAGGAGAGUGGAAUUCCCUGGUGUAGCGGUGAAAUGCGCAGAUAUCAGGAGGAACACCAAUUGCGAAGGCAGCUCGCUGGGACGUUACUGACGCUGGAGACGCGAAAGCGUGGGGAGCAAACAGG
rnacentral:rRNA from 1 species